rnacentral:lncRNA from 1 species
CAACAACAUAAAGAAACUCAAAAAUGGACAGCAAUCCAAAGUAUAAGAGGAAAUUUGUAUAUUGAUAACAAACAAUUGAGAACAAAGACCACAGCAAAUCAAUCAUCAAAAUGAAAACUCACUUAGUAAAUAUAACCAAAUUAUAUCCACGGAAAACAAAAGACUACAAGAAAACUAUCAUUCCCUCACGAGCAACAACUCUCACAAAUUGAAUCAGAGGAAUAAAAGUAAUAAAUCAAAAGAAAAUCACAGUUACCAUAAAAUGAAAAAAUCACAAAAUUCUAGGGCAUAAUUUAAAUACUUCCAUAAUAAAAAUUAAAAGGUACAUCUAUAUCUAACAACGCAAGCAAGAUCCAAAUAAGAAUUUGUUGGGGGAAAAAAAUGAAUCCACUCAAACUGAAACAGACGAAAUAAGUCUGCUGUUAAUCAAUUAAACUACUCGGCGGACAGUAAAACCCAGAAAAAUCACAGAUAAGAUGAAUCGAUAUCCAACAAUUGAAGUAUGUGAGUCAAUAUUAUUAUAAAGAAAGGGGAGGAGGAGAAGAAAUGCAAAAGAAAAAAGAUAAGGAGGCCUGAAAGUCAAUAAUGUAAUUCCAAGCAAUACCCAUAUAACAUCUUUUAUAGAAACCAACAGUAUAAUAGUAAUAGAUUAAACAAACUGACCUUACUUGCAGACGAUUUUUUGGCGUUGUUUCCUUACCUGGAUCCAUGAAUAUACCUCAGCCAACGGCAGCAGCGCCAUAUGAAGUAGGCACUGGGCAGUGGAGAAAUUAGGCUUUCAGGCAUCCAUGAAUGAAAUUCCUCCACCGGCGGCGUAUUCUG